GCCUCGGUAGUCUAAAACUUAGGACACUCGUAUGCAAUACAAGAGAUUCGGAUUCAACUCCCGGCCGAGGUA
rnacentral:tRNA from 1 species